GAUGAACGCUAGCUACAGGCUUAACACAUGCAAGUCGAGGGGAAACGAUAGAGAAAGCUUGCUUUUUCUAGGCGUCGACCGGCGCACGGGUGAGUAACGCGUAUCCAACCUGCCCACCACUUGGGGAUAACCUUGCGAAAGUAAGACUAAUACCCAAUGAUAUCUCAAGAAGACAUCUGAAUGAGAUUAAAGAUUUAUCGGUGAUGGAUGGGGAUGCGUCUGAUUAGCUUGUUGGCGGGGUAACGGCCCACCAAGGCGACGAUCAGUAGGGGUUCUGAGAGGAAGGUACCCCACAUUGGAACUGAGACACGGUCCAAACUCCUACGGGAGGCAGCAGUGAGGAAUAUUGGUCAAUGGGCGAGAGCCUGAACCAGCCAAGUAGCGUGCAGGAUGACGGCCCUAUGGGUUGUAAACUGCUUUUAUAAGGGAAUAAAGUGAGCCUCGUGAGGCUUUUUGCAUGUACCUUAUGAAUAAGGACCGGCUAAUUCCGUGCCAGCCGCCGCAGUAA
rnacentral:rRNA from 1 species